rnacentral:lncRNA from 1 species
UGAGCCACCAGUGGCAACCCUCUGGGGUCCCCUUGCACGCUGUGGAAGCUUUAUUGUUUCACUCUUUGCAAUAAAUCUUGCUGCUGCUCACUCUUUGGGUCCACACUGCCUUUAUGAGCUGUAACACUCACGAUGAAGUUCUGCAGCUUCACUCCUGAAGCCAGCGACACCACAAACCCACCAGGAGGAAGGAACAACUCCAGAUGCACCUCCUUAAGAGCUGUGACACUCACCGCGAAGGUCCGCAGCUUCACUCCUGAGCCGGCGAGACCACGAACCCCACCAGAAGGAAGAAACUCUGAACACCUCCGAACAUCAGAAGGAACAAACUCUGGACACGCUGCCUUUAGGAACUGUAACACUCACCGCGAGGGUCCCCGGCUUCAUUCUUGAAGUCAGUGAGACCAAAAUCCCACCAAUUCUGGACACACUAGGAAGACUGAGACCCAAUUGGACCAUCAAAGAACGACCCAAUCACCAGCACAAAGCUAAUAAACUUCAGCCAUAAUGUGUAAGGCAACGGGACAACAGACAGCAUCCAGCAGGGAUUCCUAAGAAAAGACAAAGCUGAAAUGGGAGUCUGAAUGACUUUUCUAGAUCUACUUAUUUAAAACUUAGGAGAUCAUAACAUAUUAAGACGGAAAAAGUGAUGCUCACGCCAGAGAAGAGUCAGCCCAAGGUCAUCUAGGAUCAGUGGCACACCUAGGAUUCAGGCCCAAGGACCCCCAGCUGACCUGCCUUCCCUGGAACCUCACUGUGAGUUCUUUAACCAUGGCUGUGUUUUCAAAGUUGAACUGGGGCUGCUGUUGAUACCACCUUUAAAUGCCUGCUUUUGUCAUGGAGACCAUGAGAACUUCACUCUUCAGCUGGCAAUUUACCUGGCUGCACAGUGCUCAGGCACACACAGGCUUCAGGGCUACAAGGUAAAGGAUUUGCCAAGGCCAAGUGCUGAAACCCACUUCUUGUUUUGAAGCAAAUGAGAACUUCCACCUGUAUUUGACCUGGGUAUGUAUAUUAAUUAGUUUGGCAACUGAGAUUUUUUUCUUGAUGAUCAAAAGUCCUAACUGGCAGUUAAAUAUGUCUUUUUUUUUUUUUUUUUUGAGACAGAGUUUCCCUCUUGUCACUCAGACUGGAGUGCAAUGGCACAAUCGAGGCUCACUGCAACCUCUUUCUCCCCAGUUCAAGCAAUUCUCCUGUUUCAGCCUCCCAAGUAGCUGGGAUCACAGGUGUCUGCCACCACACCUGGCUAAUUUUGUAUUUUUUAGUAGAGACAGGUUUUCACCAUGUUGGCUAGAUUGGUCCUGAACUCCUGACCUCAGGUAAUCCACCCGCCUCGGCCUCCCAAAGUUCUGGGAUUACAGGUGUGAGCCGCUGCCCCUGGUCAAAUAUGUCUUUUUAAAAAAAUAAUAAUAAUGACUUUUAAAUACAAGUGACCUGAGUAUGCAAAGUAUUUCUAGACUCAGGGUUCUUAAAGUGAGGAAAAAUUAGCAAAAGCAUUAUUUGACAGCCCCUAGAAUAGGCCAAAUAUGAAAUAACUAACAAAUUGCAGAUAGUAGUGUGCUCUACAAAGAAAAAGAGAGCAAGACAAUGGAUUACAGAAAAGAUGAAGUUUAUUUUAGAUGGAGUAUUAAGUGACAGAUUCUAUGAGGAGGUGAAAAUUGACCAGACAACUGAAAGAAGUAAAACAGCCAUACUAGUAUCUCAGGAAAAAUUAUCGCAGGAAAAAAAGAGGAAAAAUAAAAUGACUCUAUGUCGGAGGGAGUUUGGGCUGGCAUGGUGGCUCAUGCCUUUAAUCCCAGCACUUUGGGAGGGCGAGGUGGGUGGAUCACUUGAGGUCAGGAGUUCGAGACCAGCCUGCUGAACAUAGUGAAACCCGUCUCUACUAAAAAUACAAAAAUUAGCCUGGUGUGGUGGUGGGUGCCUGCAAUCUCAGCUACUCAGGAGGCUGAAGCAGGAGAAUUGCUGGAACCUGGGAGGUGGAGGUUGCAGUGAGCCUAGAUCAUGCCACUGCACUCCAGCCUGGGUGACAGAGUGAGACUCCACAAAAAAAAAAAAAAAAGGGGGGGGUGGGUGGGGAGGAGGGUUUGGCAUGUUUAAUGGAAAAGGUCUGUGUGUGACCAGAAUAGAUGGAAUGCAGAGAAGCAAAAUAUAGAUUUUAAUUUCCAUGGUUCUUUACUGAAGAGUGUUUCUUAUUUAAGUAACAACGCUAUGAUUAAAUUGAUUGUGAAAGAAUUACAAAUCUAGAAUUUAUUGCAUGAUCAGAUAGGAGAACAGAUUUGAUUUGCUAACUCUGUAUAAUAUACUACAGUGUAAGCCACCCUCUAUUACUUUAGCAAAAGAUGUUUUUUUCAUUUUCCUGCAAGUAUAUUUUUUCUCUAAAACCUUAAUUAGCAUUUUUUAAUAUUGCUGAAAGAUGGGGAUAUAAGUUCCAUUUAUUUCUUGAAACUGAAUAUAAUUAUCAAAUAUUGAAAAAUAAUAAUGGGCAUCAUUAUAAUUACUGUUAAGUAGUUUUCCUGUGUAGAGAGAAUUAUAAAAAUAUCCUUCAUUAUCUUUCAUGGAUAAAUGAUGUUUUUCUCAUGAGCCAGAGAAAAAUUAUCACAAUGUCUGCCCAGGUGUUUCUGUUAUGCUUACAGAAGUGAGUAGUGCUAUUUGCAGACACUGUACUUUCUCUCUUUUUCAUAUGAGUACAUUAAUCAAUUGUGGAGUUGUGGCAUCUGCUGUAAAACAAUUUGUUUUUCCAUUAUUUGAUGGCUACACUUUUUCUUUUAGUUUUUUUCUCUUCUUAUUGAAUCACAUUUUCUUUCCUCUUCUUUUAAAAAUAUUGCUGUAUUGAUUUACAAAAAAUAUAUAUUUUAUUGCCUCAUUUUAAUUUUUGGUAAUCCAUGUACUGCUUUAUUAAGGCCUAUAUAACUCAUAAUCCAACUCAUCGAUUAAAAGUUCAGGAAACCAAAGAGAUGGCUUUUUCUCCAAUUGAAGAUAUCAUAAUGAUAAUUUUGGGGGCUGGUGAAAACUGAGAUUGUCAGAAGGCUAAUUUUUUCUUAGAUGUCAUUUUUGUUGGUCACAAACUAGAGAUGAAGCUCUCUACAGGCAAGUAUAGAACCAUCUCUCUGUGCAACAAUUUGUAUUUUCAGACCACUUUUAGUCUUUGGGGGUAGAUACAAUUACUUAGAAAAAUCUUCAAUGUCUCUUUGGAAAACAGUUGAUCUCGAACUCAGUUCUAAAGCUGAGUCAGCAUCACAGGAUUUCAGAUUCUUGAAUGUUAUUUUUGUUGUCUUUCUCUUACUAAAUUGUUAUCACUGAAUAUUUCUCCUUUGUUUUACUCCAUUUGGACUGCUAUAACAAAAUACCAUAGACUGAGUAGCUUAUAAUACAGAAUUCACAUCUCACAGUUCUGAGGCUGGGAAGUUCAGCAUCAAGGUGCCAGCAGGUUCAGUGUCUUGUGAGGGCCUGUUUUCGGUUUCAUGGAGGGCCCCUUCUCACUGCAUCUUUACGUGGUACAAGUGGCAAGUCAGCUCUCUGGGGCCUCUUUUAUAAGAACACUUAUAGGAAUAUUGAAUUAGUGAACGAGCUCUGUUCUCGUGAAUUAAUCAUCUCCCAAAAGGCCCUAUCUCCUAACCCAUUUAUGCUGGAGGUUGCAAUUUUUGUGUGUGAAAAAUCAGACCUUGGCAAUGACCUUGAGCAGUAGGAUAUAAAUAACUCCCACAAGCUUAGCAUUCCAAUAAGGGAACACUAGGCAUAAAUGGGCUUAAUACCCUCAUCUUAGGGGAAAGGAUUUCAAUAUGUGAAUUUUGUGAAACACAAACAUUCAGACGGCAGCAUCUUUGCUUUCUUAAAAAGUUAAAUGAAACAAGUUCCCAAAUUUAAACAAGCAGAAAUAUGUAUACAGAUAAGGGUAGAGGAAUAGUUUAAAAUUAUUUUAAUUAGAUAUUUGAAGUCCUCAGUACGCUACAUUUAUAAAAAAGAAAUGGUAUAUGUGACAGGGAGCAAAAUAAAACCCUGUGUCAUAAAAAGAAUCCACUAUCAAUUAUUUAAAAAGAUCUUAGCAAGGAAAUAUCAGCUUCGAUAUUACAAACUUUUCAGAUGUGAAAAAUGAUUUAUUUUCAAAUAUAGUUCAAAUGAAGUUUUGCCUUAACAAAAUGGCUUUUCUAAAGGCCACCUUUAGAUCAAAAUACUUAAUCUAACUUGUGCCACUUCUUGGUAACCCUUGGUAACCCCUAAAUUGUUUUCUCUAUUUUCUCCAACUACUCUACUAAAAAGUUUCUUCCUAUUUCUCCACAUGGCUUCAAAAAAGGGAACAUAAAAGAGAAAUACCAGUCAGUGAUAAUCAUGUGGAAAAAAAUAAUAAUGUGAAGCAAUUUUUGUUUGUUUGUUUGUUUGUUUGUUUUCUCUCGAGGUCAUGAUCUGGUACUUUUUUACAGCAAACUCAUACUUAACAAAUUUUAAAGAUUUUUUAAAGAAUGAACUAAUGAAUUGGGUUAGGUAAGUUUAUCUUAACCAUUCUUAUGUCCUUUAAUUUUCUGCACUUUGCUAGUAUUUUACUUUUAGAAUCCGUAGUCAGCUUGAAUCAUAUUAAUUUUCUGACAACUGAAUAAAAAAUAUUUCAAUAUUUCAUGCAUCUUGUUUAUUUGUUUGUUUUGGUAGUUUUUUUUAAGAAAGUGAAAGUAGUUUAAUUUAGAGAGAAGCCAUGGAAACCGGGAAACAAAAAUGAGAUUGUGAUUGGGAAGGAAGGGAUCGUCAUCAAUAAAAUUGCUUUACUAAGCAAGUUAUUGCUGGAGGUGACAAAACUUUGAUCCCACUAGAGCCUUUAAAAGCCAGUAUCGAACACACUGUUCAGUAAUGCCACUCAAAUGAGCAGUGCAUUUAUUUAUUCAUUCUUUAUCAGUCAUUUGGUUGGUAGUAUGUUAUUAAUUCCACAGUAAUUCUGACUUGCCACUUGCAUGGACAAAUUGGGUUCCAGCUGCCAGAAAAAUCCUUCAGGCAAAGGAUGCAGCUGCCACCAGUUGGAAUUCUAGGGGAUACUUGGUCUUUAUAAUUUCUGAGUACAUAAGCAUCUACUAUAUGUGCUUAAUACAAAUGAAUGCCAUUUUAAUGUACCUUAAAAUUUCUAAGCAAAUACAUGAAAAGCAAUGUCUAAUUUCUUGCUUAUUUUCAAGGUAUACAGAUAACUCUGUUAUAUUCAGAAAGAGCAGGGACCUGAAAAAAAAAAUCUGUGUUAAAGUCUCAUAUGAACUAAAAAGAAAAAGUAAUUUAUUCUUCUGCUACUUCUCUUUUCAGUAAGGGUGGUUGCCUUGUCUUGCUCAUUGCAAGAAUGAAAGCUGUAUAAGUUGAAUGAAAAUAUAAAUAUGACUUUGAAGGUGGGUAAGUCUUACCUUCCCUUCUAGCAGUCUCUGAAGUUGCUUGAACAAUGGCUUAUUUUAUUAUUAGUUGGGACUCUUUGGUUGCAAGUAAUGGAAGUAUACUUGAACUAGAUUAGCAAAAAUGUAAGGCUUGUUAUAACAUUGCACAAGCACAGAACUCGCUGCUGGCUGGUAAGAUAUAGGACUACUGCAUUAUGGGGAUUUUUGAAUUCUAAUCUACUAGAGGGACCAUUGUUUUAAAAGUUCUUUAGAAGUUAUUCUUGGAACUACUAUUUAUACACGAAAGAAUGUGGAUGGAUCUCAAAAGCAUUAUGGCAAAAGACAGAAACAAAAGGCUACAUAUUGUUUCAUUCCAUUCACCUAACAUUUUAAAAAGCACAAAACUAUAGCAGUAAAAAUGAAUCAGUGGUCCCCAGAGACUAGGGGUAAAGGAGCAACUAUAAAAAGGAGACUUUUGGGAUAAUGGAACUAUUUUAAAUAUUGACUAUGGUUGUGGUCACAAGACUGCAAAACUGUAUACAGUUAUUAAUAUUUAUAGAACAAUACACUUCAAAAUGGGGGAUUUUAUUGAAUGCAAAUUAUACCUCAAUAAACCUGAUUGCUUUUUAAAAUAUAUAUAUAUAUAUAAAUAUGAAAUAGAUUAUUUUUAGUAAGUGACUAGAAAAAGGGCAAGCAAAAUAAUCGGUAACUUAGUAGGCAGCAAAUUAUUGUUCAUUUAUUUAACUCAGGUUUUAGAAAGUCCAUUGUGAAGCUAGUAAAAGAUUGUGAUUUGAAUUAUUUCUCAAAUUAUAGAUGAUUUUUAAUGAAGACAACAGAUAUACCUAAUAAAUUAUUUUUAAUUGAUCCAUGGAUACUAUCUUAUCUUUAUUCACACUUAGAUAUAAGAAAACACUAAAGAUAGACUUAGCAUGUUUCUAAAAUUAAUUUCUCUAAUUUGCAACACAGCACAUAAUAGUCAUGAUAAUUAAGCCAACUGAUAUCAUAAUUUAUGAUUACUUCUUGUCAGAAACUGUGAUAUUAUUUCCAUUGAGUAGGAAGUGGGGAGUGGGGCAAUUAAACUUAGUGCUAGAAUUAUUCUCCUUUUAAGCAUAAUUCAUCAAAAUCAAGAGUGAGCUUCAAAAUGACCAGUAAUAAAAGUAGGAAGAGAGAUGAUUUUCUAUAAAGUGCAAUUUAUGGAUUCUGGAUUCACAGAGAAAAUAAACACAUAGUGAAUUAGGUAAAAAUAAAAGAGGUAAAAUAUCCUGCAUGUAUUCUAUUAACAAGAUCAAAAGAAAACAAAAUUUACAUUACCGUAGAGAUCUUUAUAGCACCCCGUUUGUUAAAUUGAUAUUGUUGUGUUAAAAAAUUGACACAGACAUAUUAAUGGCUACAAAGAAAGAAAUAAAGAACUCCUUCUCACUUUUAAAUAGAUUCUGGAUUCUAGAGGAUAGUCCACACUUUCUUGUGCAAUUGUUUAAAUGUUGAAAUUGCUGACAUUAAGUGUGUAUGCAUUUACAUGUUGAAAUGCCACACAAAGGGUUUAUUAAUUUACUCUUUUUAUAAGCAAUGUAAGUCCUUGGUCUCUACAGUCUUAUCAAUAUCAAGUAUUUUGUACAUUACUGAUUUUGCCAAUUUAGUAUAUGAAGAAAAAGCCCACAAUAUAAUCUUUAUUUUGUUCAGUGGUAAGCAAAGUUAAACAUAUGUUUUUUAAAAGUCCCAUUUUGCGUCUUGAUUUCAAAUCAUCUGGUCAUAUUCCCAAAUAUUUAUAUGUUGCAUUCUUUGAUUUUUAUUCAUUUAUGGAAAAGUUUCGGGGAUAAAGAAGGAUUAGUAUUUUCUGUGUUCCACAUGGCUGUUCUAGACCAUUGAAACUCCUGUCCACAUAGUGUCUUAUUUUUUUUAAUAGUUUCACAUAGAAAGUAUGUUAAUAUACAUGAUCUUUUAAUUAUUUCCACAUAAAAGGUAUUUAGAAUUUAUCAUUAUUAUCAUCAUUUCAACUUUAGACUUAAAUAAACUGAACCUCAAAGUGGUCAAUGACUUGACCGAGUCCCAAGUAGAAAUGAAGCUGAUUUUCUGGCUUCUUUCGUAUUUUUUCAAACUACAUAUAUUCAUUACAUUUAUUUUACUAACAAAGUAUUGCUUUAUCCUUUCUUAUGAACCAGCAUUUUUAUUGUUUUUUUAAUUAAAUUUAUUCUUAUUAAUAAAAAAACAAGUCAAUUCCUUGGAAAUUUUUGCCGAAACCUGUUUUACAUUUCAAUAUCUCCAUAAUUGGCCAUAGGCUUUAAUGACAUUGAACUCCUUCUUUCUCUGUUGCUUCAGGCUUGUCCAUAGAAGUAAAUAUUCGCAUGAUUUUAACUUUCCAAACUGGCCCGAAAUAAUUUGUCUUAACUAUUGUCAAAUUAUUACCCACUUUGUAAAGCUGUGUUCAGUUUCUUCUCCUCAAUGAAAACGUUCAUGGUCAUAUAAAAAUAUGAUUACAAUUUUUCUCACUCUCUGAGUUACCUUGUAUUUUAUAAUAUUUUCAUGUAAGAAAAUGAGCUGUCCAUUUUAAAUGUCCAUCAUAAUUCUUCAAAUAAUGUUUAUAAAAUUAUACUCACUGGCUAGUAAUAUGCAGUUUGGCAACAGAAUGAGACUAUAUACAAAUUAAUAAAGUCAGUUGUUGGUCACAGUUAACAAUAAUUUUUCAUAAGCUUGGAGUUGAGGAAAUUCAAAGGCACUCAGUAUUUUUUUAAAUUAAGAAUUGCAAGAAGAAAGAGACAGAAAAUGAGUAUGUUAUUCAAAAUGAAAAGAUCAAUGCAAUCAUCCAAACCCAGUUAAGACUGUGUAACAGUGCAAAACAAGGUGUUUCUAAUAUUUCUAGAAUAUCACUGUCUUUCCCUUAUAGUAGGCUCAAGAUUUCUUUAAAUGACGUAGGGAAAGUAACUUUCCAUCGGCAAGACAGAAAAUAGCUAUUGGGAGAUUAGGGUAGGAGACGGAAGGAAAGCAAAGGGAAGGGAAGGGGAGGGGAGGGGAGGGAAGGGGAGGGGAAGGAGAAUGGCAGGAAAGAACAAGAAAAGGAGGGAGAAAGAACUAAGAAAGGAAGAGAGGAAGGGAGGGGAGGAGAGAGAGAGGAAAAGAGGAUGAAAAAUGAGAGGUGGAAUAACAGCUAGACAGGAAAGGAGAAUGAGAAAAGUAAGACGCAAACAGGGAGAGCAAAAAUUAAAGUAACCUAGAUGUGGCAGUCAAGAGAUUGUGAAAGAUGUGUAUACAAAAGAGGGGCCAUACCACAGCAGUAACUUGACCACAGCAGUAACUCAAUGCAUGAUUUGUGUUCCUGUAUCUUUUAAUGGCACAAGUCCUGGGACCUUUGAUGAGGCUCUGUCUAAUCAUAGAAGGACUCUGCCACCAGAAUAACCUAGUUUGCAUAAACUUUCCUCGUGUUUUCUUUCACUCCGCUAUCCAGACUGUAGGGUGUGCCUUACAUUAUUUAGCUGAAUUGUCAACAGGUGUACUGAGUAAACUGUUUGAUUUAUAAAUAUCUCUGUAUCUAAUCAUGUAUCAAUUUCUCAAAUUAUGGUGUUUCACAUAUUGGUUUCUCUAAAGAUUAUUUCAUUUCACAAUUUGAGGCAGUUUUGUGAAAAGAAACAUAUACAUAUAUUUUAAUUUCUGCCUGAAAUAUACAACAUUGAAUUUCAUUCAAAUAUUUAAUGCCUUCACAAAUAAAACGUAGCUAGUGUUUCAUGUUGCUGUUUAGAAGUUUAUUGAAAUAUGGCAGAUAAAAUGCUAUAGAGAUAUUAUUAUGUUUAAUAAUUCAGUAGUUGCUUCAAAUAUGCUAUAAAGUGUUGGAAUAUGGCCAGUUAACUUUAAAAUAUAGAAUAAUAAAAUAAUUGGAUUUAAAAUUGCUUCAUAUUAUUUUUGUUUAAUAAAAAGACAAUCCAUGUCUUAGGUGUACCCUUUUAAAUCCUAUCUACUUUCUGAUUCUUAGGAUUCUUAAAAAGAAUAUUGUAAUGACUGAACAGAAAUAUUAUAUCUGAUUUUGUACUAGAAAAUUGAAGCAGCAUGGGAUCAUGGCUAAGUAAGAGCUUUAUAGCAGUAGCAAAUAGUUACAUGAUUACUGAAGUAUAGCUGUCACUGGAAAUAGAAAGCUGCAAGGAACCUAUCAUAAAAGUAGCAAUUUCAGUUUCACUAGUGUUUAAAAUUAAAGCCUAGUAAUUCAUUGUGGAUGUAUUUCCUCAAUGGUUUCAGGAAAGUAUCCUGCUUUCACUGAGCAUUUUCACUUUGUUCCUUAUGUGUUUCCUUUCAUAAUGAAAAAGUUGUAAUUUCAGAUUGGUAAAACAAUUGUUAGGACUUUGUGAACAAACACUCAAAAAGUUUUGUGUCAUGAAAUAAUGAUUAGUCAAUUGUAUUUAUUGUUAUAACACACUAUGUUAAAAAUUCACUGCCAGAUGAUCCACAUUAUGUUAGGUAAACCAAUUUAAUCAACAGUUUCCUCUUUUGACAUAUAAUUAGCUGAUGGAUGAAUUUAGAGGUGUAAAAAACCUUCAAAUAAAAGCGUUUAUGGAAAAAAAUAAUGGCUGUUUAUGGAGUUUUGCAUACAUGUGUUACUGUCUUAAGAAGCUGAAAUGAGAUUUAAG